rnacentral:rRNA from 1 species
UUGGCAGAAACAAGGUUAGCACUUUACCCACUAACCCGCCAGAUAACUACGAGCUAAAACUUAAAAUUCAAAGGACUUGACGGUGUCCCACACACAACCUAGAGGAGCCUGUCCUAUAAUCGAUAAUCCACGAUAGACCCGACCACUUUUUGCCAAACAGUCUAUAUACCGCCGUCGUAAGUCUACCCUUUGAGGGAAAGGAGUAAACAAAAGAGCCUCCCGCUAGUAUGACAGGUCAAGGUGUAGUUAAUAGAGUGGCCAGAGAUGGGCUACACUCCCUUAGAAAAGGGGAAACGAACAGCAUAAUGAAAUUAUGCUAGAAGGCGGAUUUAGUAGUAAAGCAGGAUUAGAAAGCCUGCUUGAACACACUGCCCUGGGACGCGUACACACCGCCCGUCACCCCUAUCAAGUCGAUACUUUUACCUACAUAAAGCCUUCAAAGAUAAGAGAUUGGGUAAGU